GUCGAGGAGGACAGCUGGGCACGUGCCUGGGCCGGGGACCACAGGCCUGGGCCACGGGUACCCGCUGACCUCCCUGCACCUGUGCCCCACAGCCUCUGGCACGAGUACCCGCUCUGAGAGUCUGCACGCUGGCCCCAGAGAGACAGCGCCUGGGGCUGUCCCGCUGCCCCCUGCUACCCCCGCACCAGGCACCCCUGCAGCUGUGCCCGUGUCCCGCAGCGGGCGCUGGGCAGAUUAAACGCUGGUGUGAACAAGGUGAGCUGUGGCAUGUGCUGUCUAUGGCACUGUGCCCCCAGCAGCGGGGCACCCAGGCUCCAGGUGGUGCCCCAAGGCAAGACAGGAAAGGGGCAGAGCCCUGCUGUGGGGCACCAAGGGGUGGGUAUGGUCCCCUCCUACCCCCAAGGAGAGAGCCAGGCAGGUUGUCCAGACAGAGGGUUUAAUGCCAGCCCCAGGACCACCCAUGGCUCUGUGCCACCCCACAUGCUGCCCCCAUCCCUCUGCCCCACAGAGGCAGGCAGGGAUCCCUUUGCCUCACAGAGCUCUUUGCUCUGGGGCAGCCAGGGAUCACUCUGCCCCACUGCGCUCCUCACCAUAGGGCAGGCGGGGAUCCCUCGUCCCCUCCUUGGGGCGCCCUUGCCCAAGAGGGACCCUGUGUCCACCACAGGCAGUGUGGGGAGCCUGGCCUGCUGUAGGGCGGCUUGGCUGUCCUUGUCAGCGCCAUGGGGGGCUCAGCUGUCGCUGUGGGGCAGGCGGGACACUGCCUGCAGUGCCUGCUCAGGGAGCCGGGUGGGCUGCGUCAGGAUGGACGUGACCUUGCUGAGCUGCAGCAGGGAGCUGGAGAUGGCUGCGGGGAGAAGGAGAUCAGUACCUACCAUGUCCCCAUGCCCACCUCUCCCAUGGCCAAAGCGGAGCCCCAGGCAGUGCCCACUGGGCCUGGGACAUGGGGGCGUCAGGACACCUGGGUCCCUCCCUGCGGCAGAGGGCUGGACGUACCAGGGCGCAGCACAGGCAGGGCGCAGUGCCGCUCCAGCCAGCCUAGCACGGACUGGCAGAAGUCCUCGGUGCUGCUGGUGCUUACGGCUGCGCUGUAGCUCUCAAACAGCGGCUGCAUGAUGGUACUGAACUGGGAGCGCUGGGCUAAGGACAAGGUGCCGCUUGCCUGCCCUGGGAUCUGCCUCCNNNNNNNNNNNNNNNNNNNNNNNNNNNNNNNNNNNN
rnacentral:lncRNA from 1 species